CUCAGUGGGCCUGAUCUCCGGCGCCCACAGAAUCUGGCGCUGCGCGUUCGCUCUCCGCGCCUGACAGCACCUCAGAGCUCCGGUAGGACGCGGGGGUGGCCCCCUGCUCAAGUUCUGUUCCCAGGGGAAGAAACCUGGAUCGUUUGGCUGUGGGUUAGGGGCGGAGAGCGUCCUCAGCGUCCGGGAACGACACCACUUGCUCCAAUUUCCCGUCUGGAGGUUCUGGUCGGUCGAGGCUCCGAACUCGGGUUCCCUGCUACCUCCCAGACUAUCCAAGAACUAUCCAGUCUCAGGAUGAUAACAGGGAAGAUGGGAAGAAACAGACGGGAGAGGCCCUCCCAAAAAGACUGAGGGAAGAAAGAAAUAUGAGAGGCAACAGGGACGCCACUGAGCACUCCCCAAGAGCCUUCGAAUGAAUAAAUUUAAAAACU